rnacentral:rRNA from 1 species
UGCAGUCGUACGCUUCUUUUUCCACCGGAGCUUGCUCCACCGGAAAAAGAGGAGUGGCGAACGGGUGAGUAACACGUGGGUAACCUGCCCAUCAGAAGGGGAUAACACUUGGAAACAGGUGCUAAUACCGUAUAACAAUCGAAACCGCAUGGUUUUGAUUUGAAAGGCGCUUUCGGGUGUCGCUGAUGGAUGGACCCGCGGUGCAUUAGCUAGUUGGUGAGGUAACGGCUCACCAAGGCCACGAUGCAUAGCCGACCUGAGAGGGUGAUCGGCCACAUUGGGACUGAGACACGGCCCAAACUCCUACGGGAGGCAGCAGUAGGGAAUCUUCGGCAAUGGACGAAAGUCUGACCGAGCAACGCCGCGUGAGUGAAGAAGGUUUUCGGAUCGUAAAACUCUGUUGUUAGAGAAGAAUAAGGAUGAGAGUAACUGUUCAUCCCUUGACGGUAUCUAACCAGAAAGCCACGGCUAACUACGUGCCAGCAGCCGCGGUAAUACGUAGGUGGCAAGCGUUGUCCGGAUUUAUUGGGCGUAAAGCGAGCGCAGGCGGUUUCUUAAGUCUGAUGUGAAAGCCCCCGGCUCAACCGGGGAGGGUCAUUGGAAACUGGGAGACUUGAGUGCAGAAGAGGAGAGUGGAAUUCCAUGUGUAGCGGUGAAAUGCGUAGAUAUAUGGAGGAACACCAGUGGCGAAGGCGGCUCUCUGGUCUGUAACUGACGCUGAGGCUCGAAAGCGUGGGGAGCAAACAGGAUUAGAUACCCUGGUAGUCCACGCCGUAAACGAUGAGUGCUAAGUGUUGGGAGGGUUUCCGCCCUUCAGUGCUGCAGCUAACGCAUUAAGCACUCCGCCCUGGGGAGUACGACCGCAAG